CUUAUUUUGAUGGUUUAUGUUUCAUAAUGCUGUAUUACACUAUAUAAGAUUGUCAUAAUGAAUGUAUGGAAUAGAAAAUCUAAUUUAUACAUUCAAACUCUGUAUUUUAAUAGAACUUUUCUCUAUUCUAGCCUGUACUAAACAUUUUGCUAUUGUUAACACAUAACCACUUCUGUAAGUUAUAAAUAAAACACCUUUAAACUUCUACACUAGAUAUAAGAACUUGUAAGUCCAGAAUUCAGGGAGCAGUGCAGGUUCCUACCAUAAUAGCAGGAAAACAACAUUAUUUUUAUAACAAUUACAGGAUGCACUGACCAUGUAGCCCCAUGCUAAUGUGACCAUUACGCACAAUUACACCAUAACAGCGGUAUUACUCGGUCACACAAAUGAUAAUUUUAGGUACUCCAAUUACUAGACAACAACACUGCUUUAAAUAACCAAGUUUUCAGAGGAAAAUCUAACUUUCUACAGACGUCCUCUUUGUUCCCCGAACAGGCCGACUCUAAAACGCACCAGCAGGUUAUUAAUGGAAACCUGAGGCGACGCUGGUUCUCUCCGGCGCAGCGUUCUGGUUCGAAUCUGUGUGCAAGUGAUUGACAGAUCUUCGCUUGGCAAUCCCAACCACCCUGGGCUCCAUAAGGGCUCCAUCUCACCCAAUCGAAGGCCCGGGCCAAAACCCCGCCUCUGCCCGGCUCAACAGGAAACCAGCUCCAGAUGCAACCCCUGGAGGAAGGAGUACCGGUGGGGGGGGGGGAAACACGAUCCCACACGGACAGGAUCCCAGCGGAGGAGGCACAGGUUCAGCGUUACCUGCAGUGGUGACGGGGACAAAUCCGACAACUGGGCCCGCCGGGAAAUUUCUGUUUAUCUAAAGAGCGGAUAUUUGCCUUAAGAUGAGCGAGAGUCGGAAAAAAAAAAGAAGAAGAAGAAAAAAAAAAGAACCUGGUUUAUCUCUGGAUUCUUUUAAACAGCUAUUAUUCUAUCUUGUGUGAAAAGAGUGCGGGUCUUUAUGGAGAAUGUCGGAAAUGUGACUGUAAACACAAAAAAAGGAGAUAGCCUGCUCUGGUGAGCAUUCGAACCAAUAAAUCAAAGUUAUUAACU